CGGUGUUCAACUGGCGUGCCCGCGGGACGUCCUGCCGGUGAGCUCAGCCCGCGAGGGCGGCUCAACUUGAAAUCCCAUCGCGGUGCUCUUCAUUGAGUGUCGAGGUGGGCCGGCACGAUUACUUUUGAACAAAUUAGAGUGCUUAAAGCAGGCUAAAAUUUUGCCUGAAUACUGUGUAUAUGGAAUAAUGGAAUAGGACCUCGGUUCUAUUUUGUUGGUUUUCGGAACCCCGAGGUAAUGAUUAAUAGGAACGGAUGGGGGCAUUCGUAUUGCGACGUUAGAGGUGAAAUUCUUGGAUCGUCGCAAGACGGACUAAAGCGAAAGCAUUUGCCAAAAACGCUUUCAUUGAUCAAGAACGAAAGUUAGAGGUUCGAAGGCGAUCAGAUACCGCCCUAGUUCUAACCAUAAACUAUGCCAGCUAGCGAUCCGCCGACGUCCCUCCGAUGACUCGGCGGGCAGCUUCCGGGAAACCAAAGCUUUUGGGUUCCGGGGGAAGUAUGGUUGCAAAGCUGAAACUUAAAGGAAUUGACGGAAGGGCACCACCAGGAGUGGAGCCUGCGGCUUAAUUUGACUCAACACGGGAAACCUCACCAGGCCCAGACACUGGAAGGAUUGACAGAUUGAGAGCUCUUUCUUGAUUCAGUGGGUGGUGGUGCAUGGCCGUUCUUAGUCGGUGGAGCGAUUUGUCAGGUUAAUUCCGAUAACGGACGAGACUCUGACCUGAUAACUAGACGCACUUGCGGCAUCUCAAAGGUCCGCCGGCGGCUGGCUUUGCGCCCGUCGUCGCGCGCGAUUUUUACUGCCGGCGUACAAUAAAUUCUUCUUAGAGGGACAAGUGG
rnacentral:rRNA from 1 species